rnacentral:rRNA from 1 species
UUGGGCCUACGGGGCGCAGCAGUGGGGGAUAUUGCACAAUGGGGGGAACCCUGAUGCAGCGACGCCGCGUGAGUGAAGAAGCGCCUCGGCGCGUAAAGCCCUGUCAGCAGGGAAGAAAAUGACGGUACCUGAAGAAGAAGCCCCGGCUAACUACGUGCCAGCAGCCGCGGUAAUACGUAGGGGGCAAGCGUUAUCCGGAUUUACUGGGUGUAAAGGGGGCGCAGACGGCGAUGCAAGCCAGGAGUGAAAGCCCGGGGCCCAACCCCGGGACUGCGCUUGGACCUGCGUGGCUGG